rfam:Arthrobacter alpinus strain R3.8, complete genome.
GAAGGUAUGGCCCUUCGGAGCCGCCCUGCGCUGGGUGGUUUCAAACCGCCUCGUGCUGCGUUGGUUGAAGACCGUCGUGGUGAGCGAUCGAUGGCAAAUUCGGCAAGAAGGU